GAGUUUGAUUCUGGCUCAGGACGAACGCUGGCGGCGUGCCUAAUACAUGCAAGUCGAACGAACGGAGAAAGAAGCUUGCUUUUUUCAAAGUUAGUGGCGAACGGGUGAGUAACACGUGGGUAACCUGCCCAUCAGAGGGGGAUAACAUUCGGAAACGGAUGCUAAAACCGCAUAGGUUCCUUAGUUGCAUGACUGAGGAAGGAAAAGAGGCGUAAGCUUCUGCUGGUGGAUGGACCCGCGGUGCAUUAGCUAGUUGGUGAGGUAACGGCUCACCAAGGCGAUGAUGCAUAGCCGACCUGAGAGGGUGAUCGGCCACAUUGGGACUGAGACACGGCCCAAACUCCUACGGGAGGCAGCAGUAGGGAAUCUUCCGCAAUGGACGCAAGUCUGACGGAGCAACGCCGCGUGAGUGAAGAAGGUUUUCGGAUCGUAAAACUCUGUUGUUAGAGAAGAAUAAGCAUAAUAGUAAUCUGAUUAUGCCGUGACGUUCNACCGAG
rnacentral:rRNA from 1 species